AUUCAGUUUAGGGUUUAAAACCCUAAUGCUGAUUGCAUGAAAAAGCUCAGUUUAGGGUUUAAAACCCUAAUGCUGGCUGAAAGGGAAAAGUUCAGUUUAGGGUUUAAAACCCUAAUGCUGACUAAAAGGACAAUUCAGUUUAGGGUUUAAAACCCUAAUGCUGAUUGCAUUGAAAAGCUCAGUUUAGGGUUUAAAACCCUAAUUCUGGCUGAAAGGAAAAAGUUCAGUUUAGGGUUUAAAACCCUAAUGCUGACUAAAAGGAAAAUUCAGUUUAGGGUUUAAAACCCUAAUGCUAACUAAAAGGAAAAACUCAGUUUAGGGCGUAAAACCCUAAUGUUGAUCACAUGGGAAAGCUCAGUUUAGGGUUUAAAACCCUAAUGCUGGCUGAAAGGAAAAAGUUCAGUUUAGGGUUUAAAACUCUAAUGCUGACUAAAAAGACAAUUCAGUUUAGGGUUUAAAACCCUAAUGUUGAUCACAUGGGAAAGCUCAGUUUAGGGUUUAAAACCCUAAUGCUGGCUGAAAGGGAAAAGUUCAGUUUAGGGUUUAAAACCCUAAUGCUGACUAAAAGGAAAAAGUUCAGUUUAGGGUUUAAAACCCUAAUGCUGACUAAAAGGAAAAUUCAGUUUAGGGUUUAAAACCCUAAUGCUGACUAAAAGGAAAAACUCAGUUUAGGGUUUAAAACCCUAAUGCUGAUUGCAUGGAAAAGCUCAGUUUGGGGUUUAAAACCCUAAUGCUGGCUGAAAGGAAAAAGUUCAGUUUAGGGUUUAAAACCCUAAUGCUGACCAAAAGGAAAAAAUUCAGUUUAGGGUUUAAAACCCUAAUGCUGAUUGCAUGGAAAAGCUCAGUUCAGGGUUUAAAACCCUAAUGUUGGCUGAAAGGGAAAAGUUCAGUUUAAGGUUUUAAAACCCUAAUGCUGACUAAAAGGAAAAAUUCAGUUUAGGGUUUAAAACCCUAAUGCUGAUCGCAUGGAAAAGCUCAGUUUAGGGUUUAAAACCCUAAUGCUGGCU
rnacentral:lncRNA from 1 species